rnacentral:lncRNA from 1 species
GAAAGUUAAAUAUCCAUGCUUUGGAUUAGCGAAGAGAUCAAUUCGUUUGAUGAGAAAAAAUACAUAUAGAGGGUGAUAGAAGUUGGAUAUCGACUAAGGUCAAACUAACUUUUAAUCGGUCAGAGUACGAAGAGUCAAUUUACGUGUACUACACGUAAUAACCUUGAUAAUAGUCAUUAGCAUAUUUACGGCAACUGCACAACCAACGAAAAUUUAAUCGUGUUAACAAGAUUAAAGCAUCUUGGUAUGAGACAAUUGAUCGGAUGCAAAGUCGAUGAAAAAUGUGUU